AAAAAAAUGAUUGAUACAGUAUAGCUCUGUUGGUCGGUCCCAUGUUACGAAGCAUGGGUGUGGCGGUGAUGGGAAGAUUUGAUUGUAUCAAUGGAGGAUCCGAUCCGACCCAUAAACUGAAGGGUGGAGGCCAGGCUGGAUCGUAAGGGGCACAGGUGUACGGACUGAUAAAAUGUGCUCACCAAGGAACACGCUUCACAAGGUUUAAUCAUG
rnacentral:misc_RNA from 1 species